rnacentral:lncRNA from 12 species
GUGGGGGCUUUGGGCAGCACCGUGGGAAGCUGACACCUGAAAUCACCAUGUAUGGCCUGUGGGGUUGCUGGGCUUCUUGUGAUUUUUUUUUUUUUUUUUUUUUUUUGCAUACCCCAGGGAUCCAGAUGGCUGAGGUUACUGGGUGAGUGGCUCUGGGCCCAGAAAGAUGCUGCUGUGCUUCUUCAUUCUUGCCCCGUAGACUGUGCUACCCCAGAUCCAAGGAGGCCAAGAUCCUCCUCGGGGAAGCAUGUCCAGGCCUGGGGAUGGGGCUGCAGGAGGAGCAGGUUGAUGGGCCUGGCUUCCCGAGCCCCCCACGCUGCACGGCCCAGCCUCUUCUGAUCUGCCCUUGGCUGACUGGCUUCCUUAGCCUCUGCACCCCCUCCUCAUCCCUACAUAAACAGCCCCUCCAAAAGGAGAGCAUGUUUGGAUUGCUGCCCAUGCAAGAGGCUUCCUGGGGUCCUCCCAGAUCCUCCUGAAGAGCAAGCUCAGGAGUCCACAGAGAUGACUCAUUUACAGGGCCAGCCCCAACCACACCUUUGGUUCCCCAUCUCAUAAUUUAUUAUUUUGCAAUAAGAAAGCAUGGAUGGUCUUUCCUACUUCUCAUCAAAAGUGAUGUUUUUAUUUCUGGAACUUUAGAAAAGACUAUUUAAAAAAAAAGAAAAGAAAGAAAGAAAGAAAGAAAGAAAGAAAGAAGAAAGAAAGAAAGAAAGAAAGAAAGAAAGAAAGAAAGAAAGAAAGAAAGAAAGAAAGAAAGAAAGAAAAUGUAACACCACCUAUAACCUGUCUACAAGGAUGGUUAAUGCUCUGGGAACUGAGACUGGGUACAGUCUCUGCCGGUACUCCUGAACUCUGCUGCUGCAGCGUGAAAACAGCCGUAGACAACACGCCGAUGAAUGGAUGGGCUGUGUACCAAUAAAACUUUACCAACAAAACA